rnacentral:rRNA from 1 species
GACGAGCCUCACAAACGUUAUUCGGAAUUACUGGGCUUAAAGGGUGCGUAGGCGGCGCGGACAGUUGGGUGUGAAAUCCCUCAGCUUAACUGAGGAACUGCGCCCAAAACUACCGUGCUCGAGGGAGAUAGAGGAAUGCGGAACUUACGGUGGAGCGGUGAAAUGCGUUGAUAUCGUAGGGAACACCGGUGGCGAAAGCGGCAUUCUGGAUCUCUUCUGACGCUGAGGCACGAAAGCUAGGGUAGCGAAC